rnacentral:ncRNA from 1 species
CGUUAGAGCAUUGAAAGGACCUUUCCCUAGUAUGAGAGGAUUGGGAAGGACGCACCUUUGUUGUACCAGUUAUCAUGCCCAUGGUAGACAUUGGGUAGCCAAGUGCGGAGUGGAUAAUUGUUGAAAACAUAGUAAGCCUACCCCAAGAUGAGUGCUCUUUUAUUCUGAGUUCCCUAAAGCCUCCGAUAGCAUAGUCGAGACAGUAAGGGGUUCUCUAUCCCUGCAGGGAUCGAGUGAUAAAAUUUUUGAGAAUUCAAGAAAAGGUCACGAUGAGACGAGCCGUUUAUCAUUAUGAUAGAUGUCAAGUGGAAGUGCAGUGAUGUGUAUAGCUGAGGCAUCUUAAUAAACCAA